GCUCCAGUAGCUCAGUGGAUAGAGCAACUGCCUUCUAAGCAGUCGGUCGUUGGUUCAAGUCCAACCUGGGGCG
rnacentral:tRNA from 3 species